rnacentral:rRNA from 1 species
GAUGAACGCUGGCGGCGUGCCUAAUACAUGCAAGUCGAGCGAACGGACGAGAAGCUUGCUUCUCUGAUGUUAGCGGCGGACGGGUGAGUAACACGUGGAUAACCUACCUAUAAGACUGGGAUAACUUCGGGAAACCGGAGCUAAUACCGGAUAAUAUUUUGAACCGCAUGGUUCAAAAGUGAAAGACGGUCUUGCUGUCACUUAUAGAUGGAUCCGCGCUGCAUUAGCUAGUUGGUAAGGUAACGGCUUACCAAGGCAACGAUGCAUAGCCGACCUGAGAGGGUGAUCGGCCACACUGGAACUGAGACACGGUCCAGACUCCUACGGGAGGCGGCAGUAGGGAAUCUUCCGCAACGGGCGAAAGCCUGACGGAGCAACGCCGCGUGAGUGAUGAAGGUCUUCGGAUCGUAAAACUCUGUUAUUAGGGAAGAACAUAUGUGUAAGUAACUGUGCACAUCUUGACGGUACCUAAUCAGAAAGCCACGGCUAACUACGUG